rnacentral:tRNA from 1 species
CUUAGAAGAGUUUGAUAGAUUAAACGUUUAAUUGUUAAUUAAAAAAUACUUUAUAAGUUUCUAGGA